UACGAAGGGUGCAAACGUUGCUCGGAAUUAUUGGGCGUAAAGCGCACGUAGGCGGCUCUCUAAGUCGGAUGUGAAAUCCUUUGGCUUAACCAAAGAAGUGCAUUCGAAACUGGAGAGCUUGAGUACUUAAGAGGAUCGCGGAAUUCCCGGUGUAGCGGUGAAAUGCGUAGAGAUCGGGAGGAAGGCCGGUGGCGAAGGCGGCGCUCUGGAACGUUUCUGACACUGAGGCUCGAAAGCGUGGGGAGCAAACAGG
rnacentral:rRNA from 1 species